AGUUAAAGAAAAAAAGAAAAGAAAAAAUAAAAUAAAUGAAAAAGA
rnacentral:ribozyme from 16 species